GGUGAGUAACACGUGGGUAACCUGCCUGUAAGACUGGGAUAACUCCGGGAAACCGGGGCUAAUACCGGAUGGUUGUUUGAACCGCAUGGUUCAAACAUAAAAGGUGGCUUCGGCUACCACUUACAGAUGGACCCGCGGCGCAUUAGCUAGUUGGUGAGGUAACGGCUCACCAAGGCAACGAUGCGUAGCCGACCUGAGAGGGUGAUCGGCCACACUGGGACUGAGACACGGCCCAGACUCCUACGGGAGGCAGCAGUAGGGAAUCUUCCGCAAUGGACGAAAGUCUGACGGAGCAACGCCGCGUGAGUGAUGAAGGUUUUCGGAUCGUAAAGCUCUGUUGUUAGGGAAGAACAAGUACCGUUCGAAUAGGGCGGUACCUUGACGGUACCUAACCAGAAAGCCACGGCUAACUACGUGCCAGCAGCCGCGGUAAUACGUAGGUGGCAAGCGUUGUCCGGAAUUAUUGGGCGUAAAGGGCUCGCAGGCGGUUUCUUAAGUCUGAUGUGAAAGCCCCCGGCUCAACCGGGGAGGGUCAUUGGAAACUGGGGAACUUGAGUGCAGAAGAGGAGAGUGGAAUUCCACGUGUAGCGGUGAAAUGCGUAGAGAUGUGGAGGAACACCAGUGGCGAAGGCGACUCUCUGGUCUGUAACUGACGCUGAGGAGCGAAAGCGUGGGGAGCGAACAGGAUUAGAUACCCUGGUAGUCCACGCC
rnacentral:rRNA from 2 species